GUAAGGAAUAUUGGUCAAUGGACGAAAGUCUGAACCAGCCAUGCCGCGUGGAGGAUGAAGGUCCUCUGGAUUGUAAACUUCUUUUAUAUGGGACGAAAAAAGGCUUUUCUAAGUCGUCUGACGGUACCAUAUGAAUAAGCACCGGCUAACUCCGUGCCAGCAGCCGCGGUAAUACGGAGGGUGCAAGCGUUAUCCGGAUUCACUGGGUUUAAAGGGUGCGUAGGUGGAUUGCCAAGUCCGUGGUGAAAUCUUCGAGCUUAACUCGGAAACUGCCAUGGAUACUGGUGAUCUUGAAUAUCGUGGAGGUUAGCAGAAUAUGUCAUGUAGCGGUGAAAUGCUUAGAUAUGACAUAGAACACCAAUUGCGAAGGCAGCUCACAAAGCCAAUAUUGACGCUGAGGCACGAAAGUGUGGGGAUCAAACAGGAUUAGAAACCCCUGUAGUCC
rnacentral:rRNA from 1 species